rnacentral:rRNA from 1 species
AGUGAACGCUGGCGGCAGGCCUAACACAUGCAAGUCGAACGGUAACACGAAGAGGGUUGGCUCUUUCCUGUCGCGAGGGGCGGGGGGGUGAGAAGUAUAGGAAACUGCACUAUGGCGGGGGGGAAAUCGUGGAAACGGUAGCGAUAACAGCAUAUAGUAGCAACGGCAGAGAGCAGGAGAUUCGGGCAUCUUGCCCGCGGGUGUGCGCCGAUGGCGGAUUAGCUAGUUGGGGGGGUAAGGGCUCACCAAGGCGACGAUCCGUAGCUGGUCUGAGAGGAUGAUCAGCCACACUGGAACUGAGACACGGUCCAGACUCCUACGGGAGGCAGCAGUGGGGAAUAUUGCACAAUGGGCGCAAGCCUGAUGCAGCCAUGCCGCGUGUAUGAAGAAGGCCUUCGGGUUGUAAAGCACUUUUAUCGGGGAAGAAGAGAGGAAAGUUAAUACCUUUGCGUAUUGACGGUACCCAAAGAAUAAGCACCGGCUAACUCCGUG